UACGGAGGGUGCAAGCGUUAUCCGGAUUCACUGGGUUUAAAGGGUGCGUAGGCGGGCAGGUAAGUCAGUGGUGAAAUCUCCGUGCUUAACAUGGAAACUGCCAUUGAUACUAUGUUUCUUGAAUUUUCUGGAGGUAAGCGGAAUAUGUCAUGUAGCGGUGAAAUGCUUAGAUAUGACAUAGAACACCAAUUGCGAAGGCAGCUUACUACAGGGACAUUGACACUGAGGCACGAAAGCGUGGGGAUCAAACAGG
rnacentral:rRNA from 1 species